rnacentral:rRNA from 1 species
CACGUAGGGGGCGAGCGUUGUCCGGAUUUAUUGGGCGUAAAGGGCUCGUAGGCGGCUCAGUAAGUCGGGUGUGAAACCUCCAGGCUCAACCUGGAGACGCCACUCGAUACUGCUGUGGCUAGAGUCCGGUAGGGGAGCAUGGAAUUCCUGGUGUAGCGGUGAAAUGCGCAGAUAUCAGGAGGAACACCAAUGGCGAAGGCAGCACUCUGGGACGUGACUGACGCUGAGACGCGAAAGCGUGGGGAGCAAACAGG